ACUGCAGAUCAGGUACAGAACACUUCCAUCACAGUGGAAAGCUCUAUUGGACAGAAUUGUUCUAGAAUCUUCGGGGCACUGGGAAUCUUCAAGACCAUUUGCAGAGCUUUCCACCUGGGGUCUUCAACUGGGCUACAGCACCUCCAUGGGGCUCGAGCAAGACCGACAAAGUCAGCCCUGUGAAUACGGGGUGGCCCCCUCCCCAGCUGCUGGAAGUGCUCAGCCAGAGCCAUAACUGCAUCUCGGGAGCCCUGCGCUGUCCGCAUCCAGCCAGCGCCUGGAGGGCUUAGGGCCAAAGAGGAGCACACGUUGAGGGCUCGGAGAAUAAAAACCAUUUCAGCAAAGGCAGUUGAACUGGACCGGAUUUUCUCUGAGUGAAACACAUUGCAUUUAUCUGCGUAUUUAAGGUUGAAGAAUAAUAAAAAGCUGGAGAAAAAGAAACUUUUGUCUACAAUGUAUGCAGACUAUUCUUGAUGAAGUCCAUGUUUUCCUUAGGUCCCUGAAUCAACACGAACACUUCCUAAUGCUCUGUAAAUAUAGAAACGUACAACUUCCGGUGUGAUAGGGACCGUCUUCCUAUGUCGGUUUGACGUUGCACCUGCAAACACCACACGCGUGCAGUAAUGGAUGGUCAAAUUGCUCGAGUGGUUGCCCCUGGAUGGCUCCCACCGAAUGAAAAUGACCAGCAUGUCUCCUGAUUUGUUGAGGCAAUGAAUAAUUUACUUUAAAUUUAGACUACAAAUUGGCACCACCGUUACUAAAAUGUAGUCAAGCAGGCACAUAAAUCAAGGCGACCUAUGAAUACACAGGGUAUCAAUUUUCAUAUACAGGUCCAAAGGAUAACACGGUUUAGGAAACACAAAAGGUAUCUGUUGCGCAGGCAUUUGUUUGUUCCUUCCUUCCUUCACUCAUUCACUCAUACAACAGAUUUAAUCAAUGUCUAUUUAUAAAGUGCCAGAU